rnacentral:rRNA from 1 species
ACGUAGUUAGCCGAGACUUAUUCCGGGAGUACAGUCCUUCCUCUUCCUCCCGAAAAGUGCUUUACAACCCGAAGGCCUUCAUCGCACACGCGGUGUUGCUGGUUCGCGCUUUCGCACAUUACCAAUAUUCCCU